GCCUGUGCCCCCCUGUUCCACUGGAACGUGAUAGACGUGGGUGAACGUGAUGAGUCCCAGAACACUCCAGUGGGGAACUGCCUAGUGUUGAACACACUGACAGGGGAAACGGUCAACUUCUCCCCCUGCAGAGACAUCAUGACUGAGAAGGUUUUCAAAGUCCUGAAGUACAGUAAGAGAUCUUAGUCAUCCCAUUAGUACCUGUACAGUACAGUAACAGGUUCCUCUGUUGUCCACUCAAAAGGAGGAUUAUUGUCCCUGCUAUGCCACAGAACUACUAGGGUAUUCCUUCUUAAAACAGCAGUUGACUUCAUGUUCACAAGUUUGCCUGCUGUUUUUUCCCCACUCUGUGUGCUUUUUUGAUCCUAAUAUUGAUUCUCAGAUAACGACAGACGAUACUGUGAAGUGGGAUUUAUCUCCGACAUACCAAAGGUGCCCGCACUCCAAACAUUUCUCAUCAAACUUGAUCCUUUUGAUUCAUAUAAGGUUGUAUAUUACACAGUAAUGUAGCAGAUUAGAUCAGUAAUGGUUAGAUCCACAUGGUUUAUGCUACUGUCAGGUAGUAAUUACGCCAACAGUGUUAUGAUACCAUCUAUAACAAUUAUUUGAUUUGUCUCUUGAUGUACUAUUCUAGGAGGGAAGGCUCCUUAUUGGUGCCCCCGGAGGCUACUACUUUCAAGGUCAGAUCAUCAGUGCAGGACUGCCUGACAUUGUCAACAGUGCCAAGAGCCCGAAUGCCAAACCUUAUGUGGCUGGACAAACCCAUUCCCCUGAGACUGAUGGAUGCGAUCGUUACCAUGGUAAGAGAGUCCACGCAAGACUUGUGGUCUAAAGCAAUGGUUUUCAUGCCUCUUCUCAGAGACGCCCAGAUGUUUCACAAUUUUGUUGUAGCCCUGAGCUAGCAAACCAAAUUCACCUAAUCAAGGGUUUGAUGAUUGAGCUAGUAAACCAAAUUCACCUAAUCAAGGGUUUGAUGAUUGAGCUAGUAAACCAAAUUCACCUAAUCAAGGGUUUGAUGAUUAGUUGACAAGUUGAAUCAGGUGUGCUACCCCGAGAAGAGGUUUGAGAACCACUGGCCUAAAAUAUUCGGUCCAAUGAUAUUCAGAGACAUUAUCAUUAGUUCAAUCAACCAGAAAGGUUGAUGCAUUACACUGGUUCACCAACAGGUUAUUCUGUGGCCGCUGGUGAGUUUACUGGAGACUCCAUACCAGGUGAGAAAGAAAGUUUCCGUCAAAAGUGUUCACACAACCAGAUAAUUACUAACCUGGUCCCAGUUUGUACUAUCAUUCCAACUCAUUGUCAUGCCAAACAUUGGUUCAUUUUUGCCAUGACAAGGAUUGGAAUGGUAGCACAUUGGGCUACAGAGUGGUGCCCAGGCUAUAAAAUUACACUUCCUACACUUUAUGUGACUGGGUGAGAUAGUGACAGCUGUACAAGAUAGAAAAGGUUGAAACGUUUCUCAAUAAUGAAUGAAUUAAGUCUGUUUUGUGUUUAAAAUCCAGUACAAGUAUGUAUUUUCUGUUUCAGAUUAUGUGGUUGGAGUGCCUAAUGACUGCAACACAGCAGGCUCAGUAGGGGCUCCCGAUGGUGUUUUAAUGUUCAUUUAUUAGAGAGUGAUGUAAGCUAAUGUUUUGGUUUUGUAUCCAGUUCAAAAUCUAUAAUGGAAAUACAAUUGACUUUUUGGGAGUGAAAUACACAUUCUUAGGCUCUCAGGUGAGACUAUUCAUAUUUUAUUUUUAUUUACUUGUUUACAGGAGAGUGAUGAAGAAGUGAUCACUCUGUGACAUGUCUAUACAGAUAGGGCUUUGUGUUGAUAUCUGAGUGAUGAGCAAUGUAAGUCCACUCAAAACCACAUGCAACUUUCAUCUUGCAGGUGGCCUCUUACUUUGGCCACAGCGUUGCAGUAACUGAUAUUUAACAAUGAUGUGUAUGUCAGAACUCUCUUACUUUUUU
rnacentral:lncRNA from 1 species